rnacentral:rRNA from 1 species
UCAAGUCCUCAUGGCCUUUAUGGGCUGGGCUACACACGUGCUACAAUGGCGGUGACAGAGGGAAGCGAAGAGGCAACUCUAAGCCAAUCUCAAAAAGCCGUCUCAGUUCGGAUUGUUCUCUGCAACUCGAGAGCAUGAAGCUGGAAUCGCUAGUAAUCGCGGAUCAGCACGCCGCGGUGAAUACGUUCCCGGGCCUUGUACACACCGCCCGUCACACCAUGGGAGUUGGUUUUACCUUAAGACGGCGUGCCAACCGCAAGGAGGCAGCCGGCCACGGUAAGGUCAGCGACUGGGGUGAAGUCGUAACAAGGUAGCCGUAGGGGAACCUGCGGCUGGAUCACCUCCUU